CCUACGGGUGGCAGCAGUGAGGAAUAUUGGUCAAUGGGCGCGAGCCUGAACCAGCCAAGUAGCGUGAAGGAUGAAGGCCCGACGGGUGGUAAACUUCUUGUAUAAAGGAAUAAAGUGAGGCACGUGUGCCGUUUUGUAUGGACUGUAGGAAUAAGGAUCGGCUAACUCCGUGCCAGCAGCCGCGGUAAUACGGAGGAUCCGAGCGUUAUCCGGAUUUAUUGGGUUUAAAGGGAGCGUAGAUGGGUUGUUAAGUCAGUUGUGAAAGUUUGCGGCUCAACCGUAAAAUUGCAAUUGAUACUGGCAGCCUUGAGUACAGUUGAGGUAGGCGGAAUUCGUGGUGUAGCGGUGAAAUGCUUAGAUAUCACGAAGAACUCCGAUUGCGAAGGCAGCUUACUAAACUGCCACUGACAUUGAUGCUCGAAAGUGUGGGUAUCAAACAGGAUUAGAUACCCUAGUAGUC
rnacentral:rRNA from 1 species